rnacentral:siRNA from 1 species
GGCGGACUGCGAAGCCUACG